rnacentral:rRNA from 1 species
GACGAACGCUGGCGGCGUGCUUAACACAUGCAAGUCGAGCGAUGAAGCUUCUUCGGAAGUGGAUUAGCGGCGGACGGGUGAGUAACACGUGGGUAACCUGCCUCAUAGAGGGGAAUAGCCUUCCGAAAGGAAGAUUAAUACCGCAUAAGAUUGUAGCUUCGCAUGAAGCAGCAAUUAAAGGAGCAAUCCGCUAUGAGAUGGACCCGCGUCGAAUUAGCUAGUUGGUGAGGUAACGGCUCACCAAGGCGACGAUGCGUAGCCGACCUGAGAGGGUGAUCGGCCACAUGGGGACUGAGACACGGGCCAGACUCCUACGGGAGGCAGCAGUGGGGAAUAUUGCACAAUGGGGGAAACCCUGAUGCAGCAACGCCGCGUGAGUGAUGACGGUCUUCGGACUGUAAAGCUCUGUCUUUAGGGACGAUAAUGACGGUACCUAAGGAGGAAGCCACGGCUAACUACGUGCCAGCCGCCGCGGUAA